rnacentral:misc_RNA from 1 species
GGGAAUGCUACUGAGGUUUGGAAGAACUAUGUUUGUGAAGCUUCAGCUUCAGGUGUUUGUACAACUCCUGGCCGGCUGACCCCAACUUACUACAGUCAAAUGGCGGCUGCUGUAAAUGUAAGCUUUGGUUUGUACAAGUAUGGUCCAUACUUGGUUAGUUUGGAAGAUUGCUCUUUUGUGCGGCAAGCAUUCACAGACAUACAAAACAACUAUUGUCCC